CUCUCAUUGGAUCAUCUUCAGCACAAACAUGUUCUCUGUAGCUCUGCUGCUGCUGGCUGCUGGAUCCUGUGUGAAGUGUGAACAGCUGACACAACCAGUCUCUAUGACUGUGCAGCCAGGUCAAACUCUGACCAUCAGCUGUCAGGUCUCUUAUUCUGUCACCAGCUAUGGGACACACUGGAUCAGACAACCUGCAGGAAAAGCACUGGAAUGGAUGGGUGUUAUUUGGGGUAGUGGAAGUAAAAACUUUGCCACCAGUGUUCGAGGACGUAUAGAAUUCACCAGAGACAUCAAUAAGAACAUUGUGUAUCUGAGCCUGUCCACCAUGAAACCAGAGGAGUCUGCUGUGUAUUACUGUGCUAAAAGCACACAGUGA